UGUUGGUUUUCCCACGGCACGGCUCAUAUUUCGAUUACGGAAUCAGCUUUGUUCAAAUAUUAUUAUACGACGCAGUCUGUUAGCCACAAUUUUGGCUAUUUAGCCUUGCUUGAAUGUUUCUCAUUGCAGAGUUGGUGCAGCCGUUCUGCGCUUGCGCGGAAUUAUUAUCAAAUGGAACGCACGGCAAAAAUACUCAUAUUUUUGCAUGUCCGCACGCAUUUAGGGUAUAAUGUGCACAAUAUACUGACUAAAGGUUAGGGUUAGAAUCACCAUGGUUACAAAAUAUAUACAUUUAAGGUAUUUUUGUUCAAAUUUAGUUAAUACGGUAUAUACCGGAGUCUGUAAUAUAUCACGGGCGCACCAACUCUGUAUUUUGCUUAGGUAGCAGUUGGUAGUUUCCAGCCACAGAUUCGAAUUGGCCAGGGUCAAAAUCUGUCAUUAGAGAUAAAACCUUGAAGUGAAGGCAGUUUUGAUGUUUGAAAUAUUUGUUGAUGUGAGUUUGUGAUUAACAAGUUUAAGAAUGGUAUGUUGCAGAAAUUCUGGCAGAUGCGAAUGUAAGCUUGAUGGCAUCAUUUUCAUAUAACUGCUUGAAAUGCAUAUAUGCCACUAUCAGCAUUGAGCGUCUCGUGAACUGUCAAAUGUCUUAUAGGCCUCACACAGUUGAAAAUAGUGAAAAAAGUAAUCGGUUGACAGGUCUGCAUCUCGUAAGAUAUCGGAAGCCGUCUGACUUGGCCACAUCGCUCGGAAGUCUGAAGUACUAGAAAAAACGCCAUCUGCUACCUUAAGACAUUUGUCAAUUUUUGUCUGCAUCUCGUAAGAUAUCGGAAGCCGUCUGACUUGGCCACAUCGCUCGGAAGUCUGAAGUACUAGAAAAAACCGCCAUCUGCUACCUUAGUGGUUACCUGAUCCAAUAAUUGGAAGCCAUUUUGAAUGGGAACCAAUAUUGGACAGGGAACCA